rnacentral:rRNA from 1 species
AACGCGAAGAACCUUACCAGGACUUGACAUCCCGCUGACCGGUCUAGAGAUAGACCUUCCCUUCGGGGCAGCGGUGACAGGUGGUGCAUGGUUGUCGUCAGCUCGUGUCGUGAGAUGUUGGGUUAAGUCCCGCAACGAGCGCAACCCUUACAUUGUGUUGCCAUCAUUCAGUUGGGCACUCACAAUGGACUGCCGGUGACAAACCGGAGGAAGGUGGGGAUGACGUCAAAUCAUCAUGCCCCUUAUGUCCUGGGCUACACACGUGCUACAAUGGGCGGUACAAAGGGAUGCGAAACCGCGAGGUGGAGCCAAUCUCAUAAAGCCGUUCGUAGUUCGGAUUGCAGGCUGCAACUCGCCUGCAUGAAGCCGGAAUUGCUAGUAAUCGCGGAUCAGCAUGCCGCGGUGAAUUCGUUCCCGGGCCUUGUACACACCGACGCGUA